AUACGUAGGUGACAAGCGUUAUCCGGAUUUACUGGGCGUAAAGGGCGUGUAGGCGGUCUUGCAAGUCAGAAGUGAAAUUCCUGAGCUCAACUCGGGCGCUGCUUCUGAAACUGCAGGACUUGAGUGCUGGAGGGGAUAGCGGAAUUCCUAGUGGAGCGGUAAAAUGCGCAGAUAUUAGGAAGAACACCGGUGGCGAAGGCGGCUAUCUGGACAGUAACUGACGCUGAGGCGCGAAAGCGUGGGGAGCACACAGGAUUAGAUACCCUGGUAGUCCACGCUGUAAACGAUGAAUACUAGGUGUGGGGGGACUGACCCCCUCCGUGCCGCAGUUAACACAAUAAGUAUUCCACCUGGGGAGUACGAUCGCACGAUUGAAACUCAAAGGAAUUGACGGGA
rnacentral:rRNA from 1 species